AUGUUAUCCUGCCAGGGAACUCGUCCAGCUUCAGACAUGAAGUACUGAGCAAACUUCUCCCUCACUGCCACAACAUCUCUGCCAGCAUUGUUGGUGCCAAGGCGAGGUGCGUUCUGGAGACCUUGUGAUGGCUCAGCUGUGGAUGUUCCAGUAGAUGACCUAGCCGGUAUUGUAGUGCUGGCAUCCCAUCUCAGAAAGUUAUGGAGCAUGCAGGUGGCCUUUACCACGUUCUCUGCCACUUCUGGAGAGACACACAGCACCCGACGUGUUGUAGCCAGGGUAUGGGCGCAUGAUGUUACGGCGCAAGGGGAAGGCUUCGUCUGCCAGAAACACAUGAGGCAUCGGGCCAAGAUGUUCUGCCCCUGGGAGGAUGGAGUCAUCCGGGAUACCCAAUGUGUUCUGCCGUAGGGCAGUACCAAAAGCGGAGGAGGAGAGGGUUCCCCCAUCAAUGUUUCUUCC
ensembl:lncRNA